UGCGGUGGUCACAGCGGCGGGGAAACACCCGGACCCCAUCCCGAACCCGGCAGUUAAGCCCGCCAGCGCCGAUGGUACUGCACCCGCCAGGGUGUGGGAGAGUAGGACACCGCCGCAC
rnacentral:rRNA from 1 species